ACGACCCGGAAGAGGAAGGCCCUGAGGACGUGCUCACCAUUCACGUCCAGUCUCUGGUCAGGGCCCGGAGCAGCUACGUGGCCAGGCAAUACCGAAGCCUUCGGGAUCAUCUGGCAAAGGACUCCUACAUCAGGGCUGUCUUUGGAAGCAGAGGUCCUGGGCUCCCCAAGAAGGACGAGGAUCCAG
rnacentral:sRNA from 1 species